GCUACUUUGUCCGAGUGGUUAAGGAGCUGAAUUAGAAAUUCAGUACCGUUAGGUGCACAGGUUCGAGUCCUGUAGGUAGCU
rfam:Naematelia encephala strain 68-887.2 BCR39scaffold_37, whole genome shotgun sequence.